rnacentral:rRNA from 1 species
GAUGAACGCUGGCGGCGUGCCUAAUACAUGCAAGUCGAGCGAACAGAUAAGGAGCUUGCUCCUUUGACGUUAGCGGCGGACGGGUGAGUAACACGUGGAUAACCUACCUAUAAGACUGGGAUAACUUCGGGAAACCGGAGCUAAUACCGGAUAACAUAUUGAACCGCAUGGUUCAAUAGUGAAAGGCGGCUUUGCUGUCACUUAUAGAUGGAUCCGCGCCGUAUUAGCUAGUUGGUAAGGUAACGGCUUACCAAGGCAACGAUACGUAGCCGACCUGAGAGGGUGAUCGGCCACACUGGAACUGAGACACGGUCCAGACUCCUACGGGACGCAGCAGUAGGGAAUCUUCCGCAAUGGGCGAAAACCUGACGGAGCAACGCCGCGUGAGUGAUGAAGGUCUUCGGAUCGUAAAACUCUGUUAUCAGGGAAGAACAAAUGUGUAAGUAACUGUGCACAUCUUGACGGUACCUGAUCAGAAAGCCACGGCUAACUACGUG